ensembl:lncRNA
CUCGCUGCAGAGAGGUGCGCGGAGCGGGCAGCGCCCAUCGCACGAAGCAGAUCCCGCAAAUAGCCCGGGAGUGCGGGGCCAGGGGGAGCGCCGGAGCCAUUUUGCAGACCUUGGGCUGGAAGCGGCCGGAGCGGCGGGAGGAGGGAGCGGGAGGAGAGCGCGUUGUGUCGGCAGCGAGCUCAGCUCGGAGCCCCGGCUGUCCCGGCGCUGCCUCCCCCGCUCUGUCCCGCGGCCCGGCCCCGCGUGGAGGCAGCGGGUGCCCCACCGGAGCUCCGUGCACGGCUCGGGUUGGUGGCAGCGGCCCCGCGCUGUCCCCGCGGGGACGUCCGGGGCUGCACGGUGCCUCGUGCCACGGGGGAUGGUGGGUUUUCGGGGCUCGCCGUGUAAUUCCAUCAGCCUGUGUAUCUGAGGGAUGAGGUUGGUUGUCAGGGUGAGAAAAGCAGGGCCUGGAGCUAUUCGGCUCCAUGCUGUCUCGGCUGCUAUCUGCUGCAUGCAGGUAUCUGGUUUGUAUCACAAAACAAGGUGAUGCACAUUAAAACAGGCAUAUCGGGCUACGAACAAACACAGUUUUGGACACAGUGUAAGGAUAUGAAAACAAUGGCAUACAAUUUAUUUACAGAGCUUUCUUACAACUGCACUACUAAGACAUUUUAGAGCUAACUGGGUCCCUAUGCUCCCUAUCUACUCUAUCUCUUGCUGGACGAGUCUCUCUCUGGGCACAUCACACCAGACGGGCGCUGUCAGCUGGCGCUCUCCUCUUCAGUCCAGUUCUUCCUCGGCUGUUUUGGACAUCAACUCUGUCAAAGCUCGGCUUACAGGAGAAGAGUAACUGAAAUGCAAAGGAGAAAAGGCAGUCGCCCUCAUGUCAAAACAAAAAAUCAGAAGGAUAAGAGAAGAAAGACUUUGAAUUGCAAAAACAAAGAAACCUGUAUAGAAAAACAUCUGUGAUUUGGUUUCAACCUCCAAUUCAGGGCAAAGCAUUCAGAGACUGUCAGAGCCCCGCCGGUGUUUCCACCCGAGAUGUGCCCUCAGUGAUGAAGAUGCAGAACGUCUCUGGCCAUCCUCACCUCCUCCGCUGCCCCAGGCUCACCUCAUGGGAACGCCCCUCCCAGCCAGGAGGAGGUGCUGGGAGCUGGGCCAUGCGCACACACACGGCCAUACCUCGCUCUGAGCAGAAGGUGCGUCCUCUUCCCUGUGAUGCUGUGCUGGCAGGACGGGUGUUCCCAGAGCUGCUGUUCUUCUGCCGGCGCUGGAGCAGCAUCAGGCGUUGGUCCUCAUCACAUGCUGGAGGGGAGAGUGGUGUCCCAGGACUCCGUGGCUCAUCUGCAGCAGAGACCAAAGAAAUUCCUGUUAUCAACUUUCAGUAUCGCUAUCAACUCUGUCUAUCAGCUAUCUCACAAUGUCUCUGUCCCCUAUUUCCCAAUCAAAUAUCCCAGUAUGAUAUAACUAUCUAUCUCACUAGCAACUCUUAUGCUUUCCACUAAGUAUCUUCGAUCUACACACCAUCUAUCAAUUACCUGUCUUGCUAUGCACUAUCUUUCCACUAUCUCACUACCAACUAUUUUUCUUGCUGUCAACUGUCUUGCUAUACACUAGGUUUCUUACUAUCCACCAACUCUCUCCCUGUCAAUUCUUUUGCUGUCCACUAUCAACCCAAGAACUGUCUCACUAUCCAACGCUUUCAGCCCCCCACAGCCCCAGGGCUGCCCUCCCCCUGCCCCUCGCACAGCCCGCACUGGGCUGCCAGCCCAUCACCUGCAGCUGCCCUGGUGGGGCCGCAGCUGCAAGCGGGGCAGUGCGGGGCUGCUGGGGCUGCCAGGGA